rnacentral:lncRNA from 1 species
AUGGCCCUGCAGUCACUGUCACAGCUCCCGAUGGCAGCAGAGCGGGGACGAGGCUGGUGCCCCUCGCUGUGCCACCUGUCUGCAAGCCCAGGGCUUCCUGGGCACCCACGGGUAGGCGAGCCCCUUCUGUUCCAUGCUUAUUUUCCACUUCCCUUGAAGAACCUUUGGCUCCGCACAGGGCAGGAUUCCCCAGGAGUGGUUCUGGGGAGCAUGCAUGUGGCUCCAACGAAGGAAUUCCUGGGUUGGCACUGGUUCAGGCUGGGGGAGAAGCUGGCUCCUGCCUCCCCCAGGGACUGUCCCCUCUGAGCGGCUCAGUCCCAAGGCUCUUCCCGGUCAGCUCGAGUGAGGCUGCAGGACAGCAGCAGUUGGGUCAGAGCAGGUUUAAAGUUAAUGCUGGUGGUCUUCUCCUGCUGUAAAGAGCUGUGCUGCUCCCUACGGCUCAGCCAGGAGCUGAUGGCACUGCUCAGCAGAGGCUGUGCCGAGACAGGCAGGGGGGUGGAGCUGGGUCCCUUGUGUCCGCACCCCCCCUUGGGGUGCAGGUCCAUGGGAGCUGCUCCCCAGGCACAGGACACGUUAUCACACAGUCUGGGCUUCAGCUCACCCUCAUGAAGUGGCCAGGAGGGGGCUGGCCACCAGCCACGUCCUCCCUCACCAAAAGGCUUCCCAAGGGCACCUGCCUCCAGUGGCUGCUCUGCAGAGGUUGUCAGAGACCAAACUAGGGACAAACUCGGAAAGGACAAGGAGAUUCCCCGGCUCCUCUAUUUAUUUGUAAGUUUAAUUGCUAUUUUUGCCUAUUUGUGGUGGUGUAUAAAGUAUUUCUCAAUAUUUGGUCUUACUGGCUUCGUUCUUUGGGGGAGGUUUCCAAGGGCAUUGCAGCGCUGAUGCACCCAUCUCUUGUCGUUGGUCAGGGACUGGUUCCUGUUUGUGCCUUUACUCCCCCUUCGGCUUCAGCCACGCUCUUGUCUCCAUCCCCGAGAGCCGGCGGGGGGCUGCGUCCCCCCAGCACGGGGCAGGGAGCAGAGCAGGAGCUCGCCCCACGCCCGCAGGCUCCUUGGUUCGCUACCACUAUGGUUAGUGAUGGAUUUCUGCUGAAGGCUGAGAAAUUCAGGUAUAUCAUGGCUCCGUGCUGGGCAGGAAAUCGUCCUGCUCCAUCUUCAUCAUUUCUUCUCUAACCCUCUUGACCAAAAGGUAAAAAA